rnacentral:rRNA from 1 species
GACGAACGCUGGCGGCGUGCUUAACACAUGCAAGUCGAACGGAAAGGCCCCUUUUGGGUUCCUCGAGUGGCGUACGGGCGAGUAACACGUGAGUAACCUGCCCUUGUGUUCGUGGUAACUUCAUGAAAGUGGGGCUAAUUCCGGAUAGGUCUCAUUACAGCUUGGUUGGGAUUGGAAAGAUUGGUGGGUUUUGGGUGGUUUCACGGGUCAUUUGCUUGUUAGUGGGGUAGUGGGUUACCACGGCUCCUACGGGUCGCCGGCCUGGGGGGGCGACAGGCGACCAUGGGACUGAGGGACGGCCCAGUCGCCUACUGGCGGCAAAAGUGGGGAAGCUUGCACAAUGGGCGCGAGCCGGAUGAAGAAGCGCCGCGGGCGGGAAGACGUGUUUCGGGGGGUAAACCAGUUUCAGCAUGGGCGAAGCUUGUUGUGACGGUACCUGAAGAAUAAGCACCGGCUAACUACGUG